rnacentral:rRNA from 1 species
GGGAAAAGCACAAAUUUGAAAUCUGGCAGUUCUUUUGACUGUCCGAGUUGUAAUCUAGAGAAGUGUUACCUGUGCUGGACCAUGUACAAGUCUUCUGGAAUGGGGUAUCAUAGAGGGUGAGAAUCCCGUCUUUGACAUGGACUACCAGUGCACUGUGGUGCGCUCUCAAAGAGUCGAGUUGUUUGGGAAUGCAGCUCAAAAUGGGUGGUAAAUGCCAUCUAAAGCUAAAUAUUGGCGAGAGACCGAUAGCGAACAAGUACCGUGAGGGAAAGAUGAAAAGAACUUUGGAAAGAGAGUUAAACAGUACGUGAAAUUGCUGAAAGGGAAACGCUUGAAGUCAGUCGCGUCGGCCGGAAAUCAGCCUUGCUCUUGCUUGGUGUACUUUCUGGUUGACGGGCCAGCAUCAGUUUUGACCGGUGGAUAAAGUUGUGAGGAAUGUGGCAUCUUCGGGUGUGUUAUAGCCUCGCUCCGUAUACAUCGGUUGGGACUGAGGAACUCAGCACGCCGAAAGGCCGGGGUUCGCCCACGUUCGUGCUUAGGA